rnacentral:lncRNA from 1 species
AUCUUAUCUGUAUGAUUUCUGCAGUGAUGGGAGGGAAGCUAGUAGCUCUCUAGUUCAUUAAACGGAACGUCUGUCUAGGAAGAUACCAGGAAGAUAUUUUAUAAAUGAAUGUCGAUAUUUUUCCUUCCAAUGUAAUUAGAUAUUCUGUUUCAAUCUAAGGCUCUUCUUACAGGCAAAAGGAAUAAUGAAGCUUUCAACCAUGAUACAACUGAGAAGAUUUCAGCAUCCACAUAGAAAGAAAAGCAGGGCAAUGCACCCUCCAAGCUUAGGAAGGAGGCAGCCAGAGAACUCCUGGCUCCUUUGUGGGGCUUCACUGAGAAGAUGAACCUGCCGAUGAGGUGUGCAGAGAACUUUGGCUGCACAAGUUAAGAGGAAGAGGCUGAGUCUCAGCUCAGAGAGUGCUGGUAAUGCCAAGCACAGCAGAGCUGCCAGAGGGAUCUACUUGGAAUCUGGGGAGGCCCUGGGGAGACUAACUGGUACAAUUUAAAGAGAUGCAAAGCAAAUGAUAUGCGGGGCAAUCAUGUGAAAAGCCUGCUGCCUUACAGGAUGGACUCCAGCUGCUCAGUGGGACGGGCUGUUGGGGGCUGGGUUUUGGUAGGGCAAGAGGGCCCCGGAUGGAGUGAUGGACACUCUAACUCACUACUCCGCCGUCCAAUACAGUCCAGAUUGUUCAACAACUCUGAGAAUAAAUGGUCUUUUUUAAAAAAUUGGUGUCAAACCUACUGUACUGGGUUGAUGUGAAAUUGAAAUUGAAAUAAGUUGUAUAUAAAAUGUCUGGCACAUAGUAGUGAUCAAUAAAUAUUAAUCCCUUCCCCAGACCAAUGCUGUAUUUCCAUUUCUGGGGCACAUGCCACAUUGUCUAAAUCAAUGUUUUAUUCACUCAUACAUCAAAGAUAAUGGAAACACUUAUAUUUUAGAAAGAACUUACUGUACAUUUUAUAUUCUUUUUGGUAAAUUGAAUAAACA